rnacentral:rRNA from 1 species
GACGAACGCUGGCGGCGUGCUUAACACAUGCAAGUCGAACGGUAAGGCCCUUCGGGGUACACGAGUGGCGAACGGGUGAGUAACACGUGGGUGAUCUGCCCUGCACUUCGGGAUACGCCUGGGAAACUGGGGCUAAUACCGGAUAGGACCACUGCCUGCAUGGGUGGUGGGGGAAAGCUUUUGCGGUGUGGGAUGGGCCCGCGGCCUAUCAGCUUGUUGGUGGGGUGAUGGCCUACCAAGGCGACGACGGGUAGCCGGCCUGAGAGGGUGACCGGCCACACUGGGACUGAGAUACGGCCCAGACUCCUACGGGAGGCAGCAGUGGGGAAUAUUGCACAAUGGGCGCAAGCCUGAUGCAGCGACGCCGCGUGAGGGAUGACGGCCUUCGGGUUGUAAACCUCUUUCAGCACCGACGAAGCGCAAGUGACGGUAGGUGCAGAAGAAGGACCGGCCAACUACGUGCCAGCAGCCGCAGUAA